rnacentral:lncRNA from 1 species
UUUUUUUAUUAUUUGACAGUUGUUUUAAUGCCUUUUAUGCCAUUGAAGGUAGGUUUCUGUCACCUGCAGAUCUGAUGGGAUGACGAACUGCAGCAUGAAGCUGAGAAACUUGUUGAAAUAGCCCUGCUGCCAGAGAAAAUGCAGCAACCCCAGCACCCUAAGGAUCUAAAAUAUGCUCUCUAGGCUGUUUCUGUGGUGUGCAGUAGUUAGUUCAUUUCUUUUGUUUGCAAAAGCUAACGAGAAGCAAUAGGGCACGGAUCUCUCUGCAAAACCAAGGGGCUGUGAGAAAGGCACAGCUCUGCGCACAGCUCUGCACCUGCAUUUGUGGAUGGUGCCUUGCAUCAUCCUGGAAAAGAACACUUCUGCACAGUACCAGUACAAUACCUCACAAUGAAAGGUUUCCAGUGAAGCACUUGAAAACUGAAGUGUUUUCAGUCUCCAGACAGAAGAAAAAAGGUAUGGAAGGCCACCAAGCUGUAUUGUCACGCUGACUCCUGAGAAAAUCCAGGAGCGGUGGGGAGGUUCAGGCAGGCACUCCAGUGCUGCCCUCUCUUUGCCAAAGCAGCUGCAUUUCUUGCACAAGUGACAGUCAGGGCCAAUAAUCUGGAAAACUGCAGGAAGGCAUGUCUGCUGUAACAGUUGUAAAUCUGCAGGAAUGAGGCCCAGGUGAUGUGGGGUUCCAGCUGUUCCAGCUGUGCUGGGAGUAGCUGGGGUGUCAGGCAGUGGUGGCAGCUGUGAGAGUGCUGGUUGCCAUUGAGGGGGAAUGGGGGAGCCCUAGAUGGACAGCCAAGGACAGGGACAGGUAGGGUCCAGCCCAGCUUGGUGCAUGAAGUCACACAAGGCUGUGUGUGAGAUCUGGGGAAGACUGUGGGAGCUCCUGAAACAGCAGUAGCUUGAGAACUGACAAACUGCAUCUUGCUUCACCCCUGCCAAGACCUAAAGAGCUAAGCUGACCGUGAUGUAAGCAGCUAGUCCUCUGUAUCAGCUGGAGAAGCUGAUUUUCCUUUAUCUGUAGAAUCGCUUGAGCUCUUCCUCAUAAAUGGCUGAGCUUCUCUGAUUCCUUUGUCUGGUGUAUGCAGGUAAUUAAAAUCUCUGGUUGCAAAACUUUUUUGAAUGAAGUGUCCUAAAUAAGUAUGGUAUUAUCAUGGCUAAAAUGAUUUUGAAACCAUGUUUAUCUCCAAAUUCUAUUUCCUAGUUUGGUUCCUUUGGAAAAAGGCAUAAAAAUAAUGAAUAAUGUGGUGAUAU